UGGGGAAUCUUGGACAAUGGGGGCAACCCUGAUCCAGCCAUGCCGCGUGAGUGAUGAAGGCCUUAGGGUCGUAAAGCUCUUUCGCCUGUGAAGAUAAUGACGGUACCUAGUAAAGAAGUCCCGGCUAACUCCGUGCCAGCAGCCGCGGUAAUACGGAGGGGACUAGCGUUGUUCGGAAUUACUGGGCGUAAAGAGUUCGUAGGCGGACUAGCAAGUUAGAGGUGAAAUCCCAGGGCUCAACCUUGGAACUGCCUUUAAAACUGCUAGUCUAGAGACCGGAAGAGGUUAGGGGAAUACCUAGUGUAGAGGUGAAAUUCGUAGAUAUUAGGUGGAACACCAGUGGCGAAGGCGCCUAACUGGUCCGGUACUGACGCUGAGGAACGAAAGCGUGGGGAGCAAACAGGAUUAGAUACCCUGGUAGUCCACGCCGUAAACGAUGAGUGCUAGAUGUUGGGAUUUUCGGAUUUCAGUGUCGCAGCUAACGCAUUAAGCACUCCGCCUGGGGAGUA
rnacentral:rRNA from 1 species